UGCACAUGAUGCCUUUCUCACGAUGGUCUUCCAAGCCUCACAGUGCGGGGGCUGUGACGACAGUGCCACAUGGCAUUGCUGAUGCUCGGUG
rfam:Colinus virginianus strain Texas jcf7180006227083, whole genome shotgun sequence.